UCGAGAAUUUUUCUCAAUGGGGGAAACCCUGAAGGAGCGACGCCGCGUGGAGGAUGAAGGUCUUCGGAUUGUAAACUCCUGUCAUUGGUGAACAAGACCAUCGGUUAACUGCCGUUUGGGUUGAUAGUAGCCGAAGAGGAAGAGACGGCUAACUCUGUGCCAGCAGCCGCGGUAAUACAGAGGUCUCAAGCGUUGUUCGGAUUCAUUGGGCGUAAAGGGUGCGUAGGCGGCGGGGUAAGUCUGAUGUGAAAUCCCGGGGCUCAACCCCGGAACUGCAUUGGAUACUGCUCUGCUUGAGUACUGGAGAGGAGACUGGAAUUUACGGUGUAGCAGUGAAAUGCGUAGAUAUCGUAAGGAAGACCAGUGGCGAAGGCGAGUCUCUGGACAGUUACUGACGCUGAGGCACGAAGGCUAGGGGAGCAAACG
rnacentral:rRNA from 1 species